GAUGAACGCUGGCGGCAUGCUUAAUACAUGCAAGUCGAGGGGCAGCAGCUUUAUAGCAAUAUAGAGGCUGGCGACCGGCAAACGGGUGCGGAACACGUACACAACCUUCCUUUAAGAGGGGGAUAGCCCAUAGAAAUGUGGAUUAAUACCCCGUAACAUAUCGGUGUGGCAUCACACUGUUAUUAUAGUUUCGACGCUUGAAGAUGGGUGUGCGGCUGAUUAGGUAGUUGGCGGGGUAAAGGCCCACCAAGCCUUCGAUCAGUAGCUGAUGUGAGGGCAUGACCAGCCACACGGGCACUGAGACACGGGCCCGACUCCUACGGGAGGCAGCAGUAAGGAAUAUUGGUCAAUGGACGCAAGUCUGAACCAGCCAUGCCGCGUGAAGGAUGAAGGUCCUCUGGAUUGUAAACUUCUUCUAUAGGGGGCGAAAAAAGGGAAUUCUUUCUCACUUGACAGUACCCUAUGAAUAAGCACCGGCUAACUCCGUGCCAGCAGCCGCGGUAA
rnacentral:rRNA from 1 species